GAGUGCACUUUAGCCAUAGCAAGAGCAAGAUCAGAGAGAAAUAAGGACUUAUGACCAUUAGACCAGGAGACAGGAAGCGAUGGUUCUGGAAGGGGCUCUGUUACUAACUUUGGAAUUCAACUGUCCAGAUAGAAAGGUGGACAUGGAAAAAUUGGGCUUUGCAAAUGGUCACCCAAUUCUUGCCUUCCUGGUCUCCAGAUCACCCUUCCUAUACCGCCACUCUGGAGAAAGAAGUACAGAACGCUAACAAGAGGAGAUGAGCAUGUGAUUAUUGUUACCACUUGUCUGGAAGCAACCAGAAUGGAGUGGGGAAGACUCAAGGAGGAGAUCUUCACAGGACUCACCUCUCAUCACAGCUCCCGUGUGGUUGUAAUCACCCCAGAGGGAAAAAUAAUUUCGGUUUUUUAUGGUUUAAUUAUUGGUGAUAGCAGCUGUUUUGAAGACACAAACACAGAAGCAAGUUCUAGAACAUACUCACAGUUUCCUUGGUCACAGUGUUGUCAGUGGUUCUAUAAAGGUCUUAUGAAUCUCUACUUAGUUGACCACAAGUAGUAAGCAAGAAACAAUCCUGUAAAGAGAAUGGAGGUCAGAAUAAAGAAGCCUUGAGGGUUUAAAUCGCUUCUUGAAAAGGUAAUAAUAUUUACUCUUUUAAAAAUUAUAAACAAUACAUGUUCCUUUUACAGAAAAAAAAGAAAAAAAUAAGGAAACAGGACAUAAAACUCAUCUGUUAUUCCACCAUCUAGAUACAACUACUGUUAACCCAGGAACACUUAAAGAGUGUUUCAUGAAU
rnacentral:lncRNA from 1 species